GAGCAACCUGCCUACAAGAGGGGGACAACAGUUGGAAACGACUGCUAAUACCGCAUAAGACCACGCUAUCGCAUGGUAGAGAGGUCAAAGAUUUAUCGCUUGUAGAUGGGCUCGCGUCUGAUUAGCUAGUUGGUGAGGUAAUGGCUCACCAAGGCGACGAUCAGUAGCCGACCUGAGAGGGUGAUCGGCCACACUGGAACUGAGACACGGUCCAGACUCCUACCGGGAGGCAGCAUG
rnacentral:rRNA from 1 species